rnacentral:rRNA from 1 species
AACGAACGCUGGCGGCAUGCCUAACACAUGCAAGUCGAACGAAACCUUCGGGUCUAGUGGCGCACGGGUGCGUAACGCGUGGGAACCUGCCCUUAGGUUCGGAAUAACUCCCCGAAAGGGGUGCUAAUACCGGAUAAUGUCUUCUGACCAAAGAUUUAUCGCCUUUGGAUGGGCCCUCGUUGGAUUAGCUAGUUGGUAGGGUAAAAGCCUACCAAGGCGACGAUCCAUAGCUGGUCUGAGAGGAUGAUCAGCCACACUGGGACUGAGACACGGCCCAGACUCCUACGGGAGGAAGCAGGGGGGAAUAUUGGAAAAUGGGCGAAAGCCUGAGCCAGCAAUGCCGCGUGAGUGAUGAAGGCGUUAGGGUUGUAAAUCUCUUUUACCCGGGAUGAUAAUGCCAGUACCGGGAGAAUAAGCUCCGGCUAAUUCCGU